ACGGGUACACCUUAAGGGCAGCUUCCAUGGCAUCUGUCCCAGAAGCUUCCAUAGGUCGUACCUGAAU
rnacentral:pre_miRNA from 1 species